rnacentral:rRNA from 1 species
UGCCAGCAGCCGCGGUAAUACGUAGGGUGCAAACAUUAUCCGGAUUUAUUGGGCGUAAAGAGCUCGUAGGUGGUUUGAAAAGUCGAGUAUGAAAGACCCGGGCCCAACUCGGGGAACGUACUCGAAACUUUCUGACUAGAGGUAUGCAGGGGAAGAUGGAACACACGGUGUAGCAGUGAAAUGCGUAGAUAUCGUGUGGAACGCCAAUGGUGAAGACAGUCUUCUGGGCAUUACCUGACACUGAGGAGCGAAAGCGUGGGGAGCGAACGGGAUUAGAUACCCCGGUAGUCCACGCCGUAAACGAUGCAUGCUAGGAAUUUGGAGAAUCGACCCUCUGAGCUUCGAAGCUAACGCGUUAAGCAUGCCGCCUGGGUAGUACGGCCGCAAGGUUAAAACUCAAAGGAAUUGACGGGGGCCCGCACA